rnacentral:rRNA from 1 species
AGGUCUCGCCUGCCCAGUGACAAGUUAAACGGCCGCGGUAUUUUGACCGUGCGAAGGUAGCGCAAUCACUUGUCUUUUAAAUGAAGACCUGUAUGAAUGGUAGAACGAGGGCUUAACUGUCUCCCUUUUUAAGUCAAUGAAAUUGAUCUGUCCGUGCAGAAGCGGACAUAAUAAUACAAGACGAGAAGACCCUUUGGAGCUUAAGACUCCAGAUCAAUUAUGUCAAGAACUUAAAUCAAGUUAAACCAAAUAACACCUGAUCCUAGUCUUUAGUUGGGGCGACCGCGGGAGAAAAUAAAGCUCCCAUGAGGACUGGACCCACCUCCAGAACCAAGAAAGACAUCUCUAAGUCACAGAACUUCUGACCACAAAGAUCCGGCCACCCGCCGACCAACGGACCAAGUUACCCUAGGGAUAACAGCGCAAUCCCCUUUCAGAGUCCAUAUCGACAAGGGGGUUUACGACCUCGAUGUUGGAUCAGGACAUCCUAAUGGUGCAGCCGCUAUUAAGGGUUCGUUUGUUCAACGAUUAAAGUCCU